ensembl:lncRNA
GGGAGGGGUCGGGGUGGUACCGGCAUCGGUCCGCGGAUGGUGGGCUGCAUCCAGGCGGGGUCCGGUGGCGGCACAGUCGCUUCAACGAAAAUGGCGUCGGGUGUCAGAGGCACCGUCAGCGCUCCUCGAGGGAUUCUCUCUGUGGGGAAAGGCCAAAGUAGGCGCUGGGGUGAGAUCUGGGGCGCUGGGGUGGGAUCUGGGGCACAGGGGUGAGAUCGGGCUUACAGGGGUGGGAUCUGGGGCUCUGGGGUGCUGGGGUGGGAUCUGGGUUACCAGGGGUGAGAUCGGGGGCGCUGGGGUGAGAUCUGGGUUACAGGGGUGAGAUCGGGGGCGCUGGGGUGAGAUCUGGGUUACAGGGGUGGGAUCUGGGGCUCUGGGGUGAGAUCUGGGGUGCUGGGGUGAGGUCUGGGUUACAGGGGUGAGAUCUGGGUUACAGGGGUGAGAUCUGGGGCGCUGGGGUGAGAUCUGGGGUGCUGGGGUGAGGUCUGGGUUACAGGGGUGAGAUCUGGGGCGCUGGGGUGAGAUCUGGGGCGCUGGGGUGAGGUCUGGGUUACAGGGGUGAGAUCUGGGGCGCUGGGGCCAGCUGAAGCACGGGAGCAGGGGAAGCCUGCUGCCUUACCUGCCAUGACAGCUGGAGAGUGGCAGUUAGGGGAGCCCCUCC